rnacentral:rRNA from 1 species
UACGUAUGGAGCAAGCGUUAUCCGGAUUUACUGGGUGUAAAGGGUGCGCAGGUGGCAUGGUAAGUCAGAAGUGAAAACCCGGGGCUCAACCCCGCGGAUUGCUUUUGAAACUAUCAGGCUGGAGUCCGGGAGAGGUAAGCGGAAUUCCUAGUGUAGCGGUGAAAUGCGUAGAUAUUAGGAGGAACACCAGUGGCGAAGGCGGCUUACUGGACCGGGACUGACACUGAGGCACGAAAGCGUGGGGAGCAAACAGG